AAACGCUCAGCAACAGCGAGAACAGGCAAGGAGCUCAAGCAGCACAGCAGCUUACUGCUCCCCUCCCCCACCCCACCCCACCCCACACACACAGACACAGACACACAUCCACACCAGCUUCCGAGCUCGCCAUCGCCGCUGCCGUCCAGCGCGGAAUACGCCCCAAGCACACGUCUGAAGCAAUACAGCGAGCGAGAGAGAUAAAGAGAGAGAGAGAGAGCGGCGGUGCGCGCCGUGGGCAGGAGAGGAUUAAAAAUUACGCGCGCUCAGUCUAUGGGCACCGCCUCGUAGAUAACGGCGACACCCACAAACGUGCGCAGGUCUUCUCGUUACAUCCCCCCCCCUCCCCCGCCACAUCCCUCCAGCAGCCAACACAGACCGCCCAUUGCUGCAUAAUAGUCGCAUCUCGGUGUGACCCUCCCCUCCCUCCCAACCUUCCCUCAUUCACCACCCACCAACCCUCCCCUGUACCCUUUACACGCAUAAGCAUUAAGCCAGGAAAAUGGGCGGCUGUGUCGUGUCGUUGAUGGAGUGCAAGGCCCGCAGCGACGAGGUGCCGUGGGAGUUCUCCGAGGACGUGAAGAGCUACGGCCCCUUGAGCGUGGCAGUCGCAGGCACGCAAACCCCCAACAGCUCCGCCGUGUACGUGAACGGCAAGCGGUCCACGCUGGCGGAACAGCAGGAGUGUGCGAAGAGGUUCUACUACGGCCCUAACCAGACGCAGCGUUUUGCGAGGCUAUGCCAGGAGAACCUCGAUGACGUGGCUCUGGCGUACCGCCGCAUCGAGAAGAUGGAAAAGGAGCAGGUGGCGGGCGCAUCGCGGCCGAUGGACGUCGCGUACUUCUCCGCGCAAUGUGACCUCACGUACCGGGAGCUGUGGCACGCCGUGACCGGCUUCAGCCGCGGCCUCGCCGAGCUCGGGCUCGAGAAACGCGCCAACGUGACCAUCUACGAGGAAACGCGCUGGGAGUGGCUGGCGUCUAUCUACGGCAUCUGGAUGCAGGACAUGGUCGCCGCCACCGUCUACGCCAACCUCGGCGAGGACGCUCUCUUCUACGCACUGCGCGAGACAGAGUGCGAGGCGAUUCUGUGCAACGGCAAGAACGUGCCGAAUCUGCUGCGCGGCGUCGGCAGCGGUGCCUUCCCUGCGUGCACGCUCAUCUACUUGGACAAUCUGCCGGCGGCAGGGUGCGCGGAGCUGCACGGGUGCCGCGUGUUGUCGUGGGAGGACGUGGUGGCGCUGGGCCACGGCGCGGGUGCGCACCACGGCGCCGCGCCACCGGAGGACAACGAAUCAGUGGCACUGAUCAUGUACACGAGCGGCACGACCGGUGACCCGAAGGGCGUCAUGCACACGCACGGCAGCAUCGUCGCCGGUAUCCUCACCAUGGACGACUGGCUCUACAGCGUCAUCAAGCACAGACCGGAUGAUGUCUACCUCUCCUACCUACCACUGGCGCACAUCAUGGAGUUCGGUGUGGUGAACAUCCUCCUCGCCCGCCGCGCCCACGUCGCGUUCGGCACGCCGCGCACGCUGACGGACGCCACGGCGCGGCCGCACGGCGACUUUACCCAGUUCCGCCCAACGCUGCUCAUCGGCGUGCCGCGCAUCUUCGACACGCUCAAGAAGGCCGUCGAGGCGAAGCUGCCGCCGGUGGGCACGCUCAAGCGACAGGUGUUCGACCACGCCUACCAGAGCCGGCUGGCGGCGCUGAAGGAGGGCAAGGACACGCCGUACUGGAACGAGAAGGUGUUCAGUCUGCCACGCGCGGCUCUGGGAGGUCGCGUGCGCGCCUUUCUCAGCGGCGGCGGCCCACUCUCCGAGUCCACGCAGGAGUUCGUGAACGUGGUUUUUGGGUGCAUCGUCAACGGCUGGGGCCUCACGGAGACGGUGUGCAUCGGUGCCAUUCAACGGCUGGGUGACCUGACGCCGUCUGCCGUAGGCCAGGUGCUCUGUUCGGAGCAGCUGAAGCUGCUCGACAUUGACGAGUACAAGCACACGGACACGCCCGAGCCGCGCGGCGAGAUCUGCCUGCGCGGCCCGUUCCUUUUCAAGGGCUACUACAAGCAGCCGGAGCUGACGCGCGAGGUGCUGGACGAGGAUGGCUGGUUCCACACCGGCGACGUUGGCAGCAUCGACAGCGAAGGUCGCGUCUCCAUAGUGGGGCGCGUCAAGGCGCUGGCGAAGAACUGCCUGGGCGAGUACAUCGCGCUGGAGGUGCUCGAAGCCAUCUACAGCAGCCACCCGCUGGUCCUGAACAACUGUGUAUGUGUGUUGGUGGACCCGUGCAAGAACUACAUCUGCGCCCUCGUGCUCACAGACGAGGGCCGCGUGACGCGCUUCGCGAAGGCGAACAGGAUCGAGGGCGAGUACCCGGCCCUACUAGAGAAGAAGGAGCUGCUGGAGAAAGCCGCCGCGUCGAUGGCGGAGACGGCCCGCGCGGCGCGGCGCCGCGACUUCGAGCUUGUGCGCCGUGUUUCCCUUAUCGAUGACGAGUGGUCGCCGGAGAAGGGUCAGCUAACGGCGGCGCUGAAGCUAAGGCGCGGCGCUGUCGCUAAGCAGUAUGAAAAACAAAUCGCAUGCUUGUUCGCGGAGUGAUCGGGUGUUGGGUAGGUAGGUGUGUGUGUGUGUGUGUGUGUAGAGACUGGGGGUCCGCAGCGUGCACCCUCUUCGUUGCCUGCCCCCUUCCUGCCUCCCCCACCCACCCACACCUUCAACACAUACACACACACACACACACACACACACACACAUACAUCACCACCAACACCACCCUGAUGACGUCAUGAGCCACGACAAGGCCGUCGCAUCACAGGUUCUAGUGCCCCCCCCCCCACAUAUGUUUUGAGGGCGCGAAGCCGUCUGCCCACCGCGUACGGCUGGCAGACUCGCCCGUGUGUCGGCGGACAGGUGUGGGCUGACGCAGUGACGAAGAGAGUUUGCGGGCAUGAAGCCACGUGUGUACCAGCUCGCUUAUUAGUCGAGCCGACGACUCGGCAGGGAUGCAUUCACGCCUCCUGCCUCAUCCUGCCUUGGCUGUGUUGCGGUGAUGUCGAGCGGUGACCCCCUGGACCUCGCCAGAUGGUGUUGGUUGUCCGGGUUCCUGGACAUGGCCGUGGCGCCGCACCGGCGGGUGAGCCCCGGCUGUGCGCGUGUAACGGCUGACUUGUUCGUAAGUAGAUUAUGAACAAAUUGAGCCAUAAC
rnacentral:misc_RNA from 1 species